rnacentral:lncRNA from 1 species
CGCAUCGAAUGUUUAGACACAUGCAUAGAAUAUUAAAUAUAGACUAUUUAUAUAAAAUUAAAAUCACAGCUAGAGAGUAAUUUGCGAGACAAAUCUUCUGAGCCUAAUUAGUCUAUAAUUAGACAAUAAUUAUCAGAUAAUACGAAAAUACUAUAGUACCUGUUAAACUUUACCAAUCCCAACCAAACACCCUCUUACUACCAGAUUAC